rnacentral:rRNA from 1 species
ACUGCUCAGUAACACGUGGACAACCUACCCUGAGGAGAGGGAUAACCCCGGAAAACUGGGGAUAAUACCUCAUAGACCAGGGAUGCUGGAAUGCUUCCUGGUCCAAAGGUCCGCCGCCUCAGGAUGGGUCUGCGGCCGAUUAGGUUGUUGUUGGGGUAACGGCCCAACAAGCCUUUGAUCGGUACGGGUUGUGGGAGCAAGAGCCCGGAGAUGGAUUCUGAGACACGAAUCCAGGCCCUACGGGGCGCAGCAGGCGCGAAAACUUUACAAUGCGAGAAAUCGUGAUAAGGGAACCCCGAGUGCCCGUAAAUCCGGGCUGUCCGCCAGUGUAAAUAACUGGUGAAGAAAGGGCCGGGCAAGACCGGUGCCAGCCGCCGCGGUAAUACCGGCGACUCGAGUGGUGGCCGCUAUUACUGGGCUUAAAGCGUUCGUAGCUGGGCUGUUAAGUCCCCUGGGAAAUCCACCGGCUCAACCGAUGGGCGUUCAGGGGAUACUGGCAGCCUAGGGACCGGGAGAGGUGAGGGGUACUCCAGGGGUAGGAGUGAAAUCCUGUAAUCCUUGGGGGACCACCUGUGGCGAAGGCGUCUCACUAGAACGGCUCCGACAGUGAGGAACGAAAGCUGGGGGAGCAAACUGGAUUAGAUACCCGGGUAGUCCCAGCUGUAAACGAUGCGCGUUAGGUGUAUCGGUGACCACGAGUCACCGAGGUGCCGAAGAAAAAUCGUGAAACGUGCCGCCUGGGAAGUACGGUCGCAAGGCUGAAACUUAAAGGAAUUGGCGGGGGAGCAC